GGAGAGAUGGCUGAGCUGGUCGAAGGCGCGCGACUGGAAAUCGCGUAUACGGACAAAAUCCGUAUCGGGGGUUCGAAUCCCCCUCUCUCCG
rnacentral:tRNA from 1 species